GUAAAAUAAAAUGGUGCUCUAAGUAAGUAUGAGAGAUUUCAGCACAUGUUGAAUUCAGUCUUUCAAGCUUCU